rnacentral:ncRNA from 2 species
GGCUACGCAUGCGGCGACGGUUCCCCUUGGGGAUCAAAAGGGAACGCGGUGAGGGCUGGCGCCCGAGGCCGCGGCUGCCCCCGCAACUGUAAGCGGCGAGCCCUCCAUCACCACGUCACUGGGGUCUGCCCUGGGAAGACGAUGGGGGGCGGCGACCCGCGAGCCAGGAGACCUGCCGUCAGCCGUGGUCACAC